rnacentral:rRNA from 1 species
UACAGAGGGUGCGAGCGUUAAUCGGAAUUACUGGGCGUAAAGCGCGCGUAGGCGGCUUUGCAAGUCGGACGUGAAAUCCCUCAGCUUAACUGGGGAACUGCGUCCGAUACUGGAUGGCUUGGAUUUGGGAGAGGGAUGCGGAAUUCCAGGUGUAGCGGUGAAAUGCGUAGAUAUCUGGAGGAACACCGGUGGCGAAGGCGGCAUCCUGGACCAAUAUUGACGCUGAGGAGCGAAAGCUAGGGGGAGCAAACGGGG